rnacentral:lncRNA from 1 species
ACUGAAGUUGUUCUUUUCUGCCUCAUUUAAGUGUGGAAUGCUGAAUGUAGCCACGUGGAAAUUAAUCGCUUGUUUUGUUGUUAUAUAAUUAAGAGCUUAAUUAAAAAUAAAUAACUCUAAGUUCUCACUUCAUUUUCUCCAUUUGCACAACUUGGAUAUUUCAUUUUGUCGCCCAUUGGAAUUGGAAAGUGAGCGUUCAGUGUCGGGAACUUUCCUGAGGAUUGCUCCCCGAGGGCCCCGAGCCGUGUGUGUCGCCUCACCGCUGCCCGGGCAGUGUCUGCAGGGCCUUGGGAGCGCGGAGUGCUUGUGGCUUGCCCGUCUAGCCUGCCAAGUGGAGGGCUGAGCGGCUGUUGACAGAUGAUGCUCUUUCUAAGAAACCUGCCCUGGACGGCUCUCAUCCCAUUCCCUUGAGCUGCAUCAGGUCCACAUGUAGUGAGGAGAAGCAUCUGCUCUGGGGUUUCGUCUGUAAAUUCCACUUCCCCCAAUAGUGGGCCCAAGGCUGUGCCUAUGACAUAGUAGCUCCACUUCACGAGUGACUCUGUGAGAAGUUGCCAUCGUGGUGCAGGGGUUAACAAACCCAACUACUAUCCACGAGGGCUCGGGUUUGAUCCCUGGCCUCUUUCCGUGGUUUAAGGAUCCAGCAUUGUUAUGAGUUGUGGUGUAGGUCACAGACACAGCUUGAAUCUGGCAUUGCUGGGGCUGUGCUGCCAGCCUAUGCCAGAGCCACGGCAACGCGGGAUCCGAGCCGCUUCUGCAACCUACACCACAGCUCACGGCAAGGCCGGAUGGUUAACCCACUGAGCAAGGGCAGGGACCGAACCCGCAACUUCAUGGUUCCUAGUCGGAUUCGUUAACCACUGCGCCACGAUGGGAACUCCUCGAUUUCUGCUUAACAAAUUAAACCCAGACUUUGAAGCCUAAGGCAACAACCAUUUCAUUUUGUCUUGUGAUUUUUGUGAGUAAGGAACUGGUGUAGCUGGGUGAUUCUUCUGCUCCUCGUGGUGUUGGCUGAGUCAGUGGUCCCCUGGGGGUGGGUGAGCUGGAUUGGCACUCAGCUGGUCCAGGAUGGUCCCCCAUAUGCCUGCACCUGUCCAGGGUGAGCAGAGUGCUUAUGUGUGACCUUUCCAAUGUGGCAGUUUUGGAGUAGGCAGGCUUUUUGGCUCAGAGCUCAGGACUCCCAGGGAAAGCAUUCCAGAAGAUGGGCAGUAGAUACUGUCAGUUUGUUUUUUUUUUUGUUUUGUUUUGUUUUUAAAGAUUUUGAUUUUUUCUGUUAAGAGUUGACUUACAGUGUUUUGUCCAUUUCUGCUGUACAGUGAAGUGACCCAGUUACACAGCAUAUAUACACAUUCUUUUCUCACAUUUUCCUCCAUCAUGUUCCAGAGCAAGUGACGAGACAGAGUUCCCUGUGCUGUACAGCAGGAUCUCAUUGCUUAUCCACUCCAAAUACAAUAGUUUGCAUCUGCUAACCCCAAACUUCCAGUCCCUCCCACUCUUUCCCCCUCCCCCUUGGCAACUAACCACAAGCCUGUUCUCCAUGUCCAUGGGUUUGUUUCUUUUGUGUCUAUAGGUCCAUUUAUGCCAUAUAUUCUAUUCCAGAUGUAAGUGAUGUUAUAUGGUGUUUGUCUUUCUCUUUCUGACUUACUUAGUAUGAGAGCUUCUAGUUCCAUCCAUGCUGCAAAUGGCAUUUUGUUCUUUUUAAAGGCUGAGUAGUAUUCCCUUGUGUAUCUUCUUAAUCCGUUUAUCUGUCAGUGGGCAUUUAGGUUGUUUCCAUGUCUUGGCUAUUGUGAGUAGUGCUGCAGUGAACAUAGGGGUGGCAUGUAUCUUUUGAAUGAAUGUUUUGUGUGGAUAUAUGCCCAGGAGUGGGAUUGCUGGCUCAUAUGGUAGUUGUCUAUUUAGUUUUUGAGGUACCUCCAUACUGUUUUCCACAGUGGUUAUAGAAGCUUCCAGGUUCUUAAGGCCUGUGUCUAGAAACAUCUGUCUUAUCACUUAGGCGGUCACAGGAGUCGCAGGGCCCACUUUGACUCAAGGGGCGUGGGCAUGGCCACUGGCUGACCGUGGAAACGUCGGAGUUUGUGGUUCUCUUUAGCCUGCCACACUGGGUAAUAACAGAAUUGACCUCUUUGCCUGCAGAAUGAGUUCAGACUUUCUGAAAAUGAAAUGAGCUGAUCAUGUACAAAUCCAGUCAGGUCCAAACGUCCUGGCCGCUAACUCUUCCUCGAGUUGGCCCCACCCUACUUUGCCAAGCUCGUUUCCCCUGUAGUUGUCCCUCCCAUGUUUCCCCAGAGCAGUCCGUGUGUGGGGGUGGUGUGGAAUUCCGAACGAACCGCUUCAUUGCUCAUCCAGCUCUGCUUAGAAGCAUGUUUCACGUAAGCCUGACCUUCGCUGGGCCAGGCAGAGAAUGACGUGUGGUGGGAGAGCGCAUUCGUUGAGUACCAUUGAUUCCACCCACGCCUUCGUGGGGAGCCUCCGCAGGCAUUUAGAGCAGAGCUGCGAGGUUCUCAGGCUGGCCUUUUGGGAGGCUGUCCGGACAGCUGCAUGAGAACCGGGGCGGGGGCGGGGGGGACCCGCAGGGAGAGGAUUUGUCACCCGGGCAAGAAAGGAGGCAUUUCUGAGCAAACAUGUUUGCAGGGAGUAUAGGGAGAAGGUGGUCCUGGGAGGUGUAGGGAGGUGAAACCUUCCCGCUUGGUCGACACGGGUAGAGGAUGGUAGGCGUGGUCCCUGGAGAGGGAAGGCCGCAGGGCUCACUGGGCUUGGACUCGAUGGCACCAUCCGUGAAGAUGGGGGACGGGAGGAGGAGUGAUGUGGUGGGGAGAUGGACUGGCCUCUUUGGCCAUGUUGAGUUCACGGCUGCCCCGAGCAGCCCAGCGGAAGUGGUUCCUGGGCAUCUGGAGUUAGAUCUGGCCCUCAGGGGUGCAGACGGGAUGGAGUUUAACCAGGCACGAUCAUACUGGCAGGUUGGGACGGGAGAACCCAGCGUCUGACUGAGGUGAUCUGCUUGCCUUGGAAAUGGCUGAGUUGUUUUCACACAACAAGUAAACGCACGCCUAAAAACCCAAGACCCUCUCCCUAUGUUACACUGUGGGUUUCAGACCAGCUGGAUUCACACCCUGGUCUCUCUGAACAUCUCGCGCUUCUUUUCCUUUUUUUUGUUCCUUUUGCUUCGAAUAUACCCUGACUUUCCAUCCACUUUCUUCCAGUUCCUUCAUGUCUAACUUCAGCCCAUACUUUGAAACCCAUUGCAAAUGCUGAGGAGUUCCCACUGUGGUGCAGGGGGUUAAGAACCUGACUGCAGUGGCUUGGGUGACUGUGCAGGCAUGGGUUCAACCCCUGGCCCAGCACAGUGGGUUAAAGAACCCGGUGUUGAUGCAGCUGUGGCAUAGGUUGAACCCGGCCCAAAACUUCCAUGUUCUGGGGGUGCGGCAUAAAAUUAAAAAAAAAAAAAAAA